UUUCAAGGGAUGGGAAUUGAACCCACGACCUUCCGCUUACCGGGCAGAUGCCAUGACCACUAGGCUACCCUGGA
rnacentral:tRNA from 1 species